rnacentral:tRNA from 1 species
CAUCAGAUAGCUCAGUUGGUAGAGCACCUGACUAGAGAUUCAGUGGGCCCUAGUUCGAAUCCCAGUCUGGUCU